rnacentral:lncRNA from 10 species
AUUUUCUAACCUAACAGUGAGUGACAUAAUUUUAUGACUGCUGACCAAAUUAAUUUAUAGAUUUUAUAAAAUCCCAUGUUUCUUAAUGGAUGGAGGAUAGAUGGCAAUAUCUUGAACAAAAUCUUUUAUAAACUUACAGAAUUUUAAAUCAGCCUUCACUUAAAAAAAUCCUGGAAAGGAAGUAACGCAUAGUCACUUGACACUGAUAAUUUUAUAUAAUUUGCUGUCAAAUUCACUUGGUCAGUUUUAUAAAAAUGUGUGAAUAGGUAAUACACAUAAUUUUGUUCUCUGGCUUUUUUAUGAACAUAUAUUUGAUAAUGUGAGAGGACAUUAACUGAGCUGGGAAAUUAAAGAAACAGAAUUCUAAUUAGAAGUGUUGUAGGAAAAAGCAAAUGUGAAAACACUAAGUGUCGUUCACAUCGAAUGGUGAUAAUGUCGCUCAGCAACCUGUAAUCUUAACAUCCAGGUUAUACAGAUGGUCGUUACUGAACUAUUCUGCGGUCGAUUAUGAUUAUCUCUCUUACUUGGAGGCUCACAGUUGAGGUAAAACUUUUAAAAUGACAAAUGGUAUUAUUCAUGUAAGCUUCUGCCAGGUGACACUCUAUAUUAGAACUCUUUAACACAAUUUUCAUUUAAAAAUGUUCUUAUGACUUUUGGUCAUAGAAGGUCUAUGAAGGAGCUUCCAUGGCCAAACAUAUUUAGAAACUCUCACUUUCUAAAGCUUGACAAGGUAUAUUAGCAUCUGAAACCCCAAGGUUAAUAAAAUCAGUCAUGUUUAAUUUUAUUUGACCCAGUUUUUUCCAAACUUUUUGACCACAGAACCCCUUUCUCUAGCAAAACCUAACAUUCUAUGCCGAUCCAACUUAAUUGCCAGGCAACUCUUCUGCACUUUACAUUAAACAGACAAACUUAUGUUAACAAAAACAUUAGGCCUAGAGAAUAUUUUACCAGAAUUUUUAUACUGAAAUACAGUUCACUUUUUCGAUGCUUUAAAAAUAACUGAUAUUUUUAUGAUGAACAUGACUGUAAUAUGAAUAUAGUAUAGUAGUUUGCACUGGUUAACUUACACCCCAGUUCUUUUACGAUGAUGUAAAUUAUUGAAUAAUGUACACUCUUAAUGUAUAAGUGCUUUUAUUUAUACAGUAAACAUGUUUCCAUGUCAUUUUGAGAAUUUUUUUAAUAAACAUUCAAAUAGCUUGCUGUAAAGUUUUGUAUCAUACAAAAUCUGUUACAUAUAUAUAUAUUAUGAGAUGCUUCAGUUCAAAUAACAGUGCAGUAAUUCACCUAUAUCUAAAAGACUGCCAAAUUAUUAAAUGUCAGGUAUUGCACUUCUAUUCUGAGUGGCAGUUUACACAUUUUAAAUUACAUCAAGGGUAAAUCAAUAGUAUGGAAAUCUUAAUUUGGUCCACUUUAAAUGUAAUUUCAAGGAUUUCUCAUUUGACCUAUUUACACAUGCAUCCAGAAAAAAGUAACAAAAAAUGUAGUCAAGUUAUGUUUAUUUCCAAAAAAGGCAUUUACCCUAGAAGAAAGUAGAAUCUGUUAAUACAGUUUAAAGUCUGUGGAGUUAAAAAAAAUAACAAAAAAUCAAUUUGUGAUUAUUUCUUUAAGUAAAAUAUAAGACAUUAAGUUUGCCUGUAAUCUUAUGGCAUUACUAAACUGGAC